rnacentral:rRNA from 1 species
UGUCCAACGUUAAUCGGGGCAGGGUGAGUCGACCCCUAAGGCGAGGCCGAAAGGCGUAGUCGAUGGGAAACAGGUUAAUAUUCCUGUACUUGGUGUUACUGCGAAGGGGGGACGGAGAAGGCUAUGUCAGCCGGGCGACGGUUGUCCCGGUUUAAGCAUGUAGGCGGAGGUUCCAGGUAAAUCCGGUACCUUAUUAACGCUGAGGUGUGAUGACGAGGCACUACGGUGCUGAAGUGAUAAAUGCCCUGCUUCCAGGAAAAGCCUCUAAGCAUCAGGUAACACGAAAUCGUACCCCAAACCGACACAGGUGGUCAGGUAGAGAAUACCAAGGCGCUUGAGAGAACUCGGGUGAAGGAACUAGGCAAAAUGGUGCCGUAACUUCGGGAGAAGGCACGCUGAUGUGUAGGUGAAGUCCCUGCGGACGGAGCUGAAAUCAGUCGAAGAUACCAGCUGGCUGCAACUGUUUAUUAAAAACACAGCACUGUGCAAACACGAAAGUGGACGUAUACGGUGUGACGCCUGCCCGGUGCCGGAAGGUUAAUUGAUGGGG